UGGAGCGACCCGGCAUGAAACUGAACUGGUUCACAGAUAUAGAUGUCAUCUCCCUCACCCUCACUCGAUCACCCGCUCCUAGACCUUCAUGGUGUGACUUAUUAAUUUGAUACCCCUAUAAGUGUUGCAGCACUGGAUGUCACCUUUGUUCUUGUAUAAGGGCACCGCUGUACUCCACCUCCACUCCUCCGGCAUCUUUUUGGUCCUGAAGAUCGCAUUG
rnacentral:lncRNA from 1 species